UAUNGCACACUGGGCGCAAGCCUGAUGCAGCNACGCCGCGUGAGCGAAGAAGGUCUUCGGAGCGUAAAGCUCUGUCCUUGAGGAAGAAGGAAGUGACGGUACUCAAGGAGGAAUCCCCGGCUAACUACGUGCCAGCAGCCGCGGUAAUACGUAGGGGGCAAGCGUUAUCCGGAAUUAUUGGGCGUAAAGAGUACGUAGGUGGUUUUGUAAGCGCGGGGUGAAAGGCAGUGGCUUAACCAUUGUAAGCCUUGCGAACUGCAAGACUUGAGUGCAGGAGAGGAAAGCGGAAUUCCUAGUGUAGCGGUGAAAUGCUUAGAUAUUAGGAGGAACACCAGUGGCGAAGGCAGCUUUCUGGACUGUAACUGACACUGAGGUACGAAAGCGUGGGGAGCAAACAGG
rnacentral:rRNA from 1 species